rnacentral:lncRNA from 1 species
UGGCGUACAUGUUUUACAUAAUUAAGCAAGCAUCGCUAGAACAAUCACCGCGGCUCACAUUACAGCUCCAGCUAUCAUAAACUGGCCUACCAAAAGUCCAGCAACAUGGGGGUGGAGGUGGUGGGGGUGGUCCAUCACAGCAACAAGGUCCCCAAACACACAAACGAUGACAUCGCAUGCAAUAAAGUGGUGGCAGUGGAGGUUGUGGUGGGGGUGGUCCAUCACAGCAGCAAGGUCCCCAAACACAGACACGAUGACAUCGCUUGCAACAAAUUGGCGGUGGUGGUGGUGGCGGAGGCGGCGGCGGCGGUGGCGGAGGCGGCGGCGGCGGUGGCGGUUUGAUGAUCUUAAUGCACUUGAUGAAACCGCCACCCUUGUAGUAU